UACGGAGGGUCCAAGCGUUAAUCGGAAUUACUGGGCGUAAAGCGCGCGUAGGCGGAUAAUUAAGUCAGAUGUGAAAUCCCUGGGCUCAACCUAGGAACUGCAUUUGAUACUGGUUAUCUAGAGUAUGGUAGAGGUGAGUGGAAUUUCAGGUGUAGCGGUGAAAUGCGUAGAGAUCUGAAGGAACAUCAGUGGCGAAGGCGACUCACUGGGCCAUUACUGACGCUGAGGUGCGAAAGCGUGGGUAGCAAACAGG
rnacentral:rRNA from 1 species